rnacentral:lncRNA from 1 species
AUUGCCACUGAGGUCAGGGCGGUCCCAUCUCAAAACCAAAGUCAGUGUCACCUGAAAAAAAUGUCAUUCACCAGGCCAAGGGACCCCAAAGACCCCUGGCUGAACCCCGCUCCGGGGAAAGGCGUCAAGCUGUGGGCCUGAACCUGCAGGCUCGGCAAAGAACAGAACUGCCAUCAGCAGCGCUCGAACAGCUGGCGCCGCCCCCGGCCAGAAUGGUCUGUGACCCUUGACCCCCGGCCCCUGACCUCCACUGCAGGCACGUCCCACGCUGGGGUUCCCCCUGGGAUAGCUUGAAAGCCCCCUCACCUGUCACAGUUUCAUCUCAUGCCGCAAUGUUGUCCGUCCCACCACCCGCGGGCGCCCGAUCAAAGGUGGACUAGGCGAGGACGUUAUGUGAGGAAGAUGUGGGGUGCUCAAAUCCGGGUAGACAAACCACAACCCGAGCCCAGCAGGCGUCUCCCCCGCGGAGGUUGCACGGUGCCACUGCUGCCGCUGCCGCCGCCGCCGCUGCAGUAAAUCAGCUGACACCCGACUGCCGUGACUUUCGCUGCAACUGUCGCAAAAAUGAGGGGGCGGGAAACGAUCAUCAUUUCCAUACUUGCCUGGCGGAGGCUGGAGCCAGAGAAGCUGGCCCGUUACCAAGGAGACCGAACUGUGUCGACUGUGGGCAAAGAGUGCACGGUCGCCAUUUUUACUAUGGGAAGUGUCGUCUAGGCUCUCGUCUCGCCUCCAGUGCCCAGCCUGGGAGGACCAAGAUGGAGGGAAGAAUGAAAUGGACCACCACAGCCCAGGGAGAGUUGUUCUUCAAUCCUGUGCUGAGAAGAGGACCCAGGUGUCACAAAGUGGGCCAUGGAAGACACAAAGAUGCACUGCCCAGAUUUUUCUUCUAG